GCAUGGUAAUGGAUUUAUGGUAGGCCCUUCUCUGUGGGCCUCUCAUAGUGUACCCAUGCCAGAGUAAACGGCAGCCUCGAACCAUUGCCCAGCUUCCCUGUGUGUGGACUGUGAGCACUGAUGCAGGUUGCACAAUG
ensembl:snoRNA SNORA80E small nucleolar RNA, H/ACA box 80E